rnacentral:lncRNA from 1 species
GCACGUCUUAAGUUUCGACUAAUAAAUGGCAUUAACAAAGCGUUUCAGCGACUACCACGGCUUCACAGUGGCUCCUCCCCUGCCCUGCCACCAUUCAGGCUGUAAUUCCUUCCAGGAUUCCCGCACCAUCCUGUGUGCCCAGAGCUCUCUAGAGCACCAGGACCUAAGGCUGCAUCUCCAGGAGGGAACGUGGAGACACCGCGGGCGGAGGGGACCUGGAGGAGUUCCUGGAGGAGCAGUCCUAGGCACGGGGCGAAGGAUUUGCGCUCUAGCUGGUGGAGCGCACAUCGCCCUGGUUAGCUCUGCGGAUUCUGUGUGAAGAAUACAGAGACAGACGUUCCAUUUCAAAGAAAAAAGAGCAACACGAAGGCCCUCUUUAAGGAGAGAGUAAACAUUCACUUUAGGUAAAAAAUAGUCUUUUACACGCCUGUGCACGGCACACCUCUUUUGCUGUUCACCUUGAGCCCAAGAGUUUGGAAAGGCUGCCCCCAUUUCAGAGAGGAAGAAACGCAGGCACACGUGAAUGACAGACUCCUCUGUGGUGGCCUAGACUCCAGCCAACACUUCCUAGGACAGCCUGCCAUUGUGCAAAGUCACCAUGUAACAAAUGCAGACAUCUCUGAGAUCACCAUGCAGUGAGGAAGUCUAAGCUGGUGGCAUGAAGAGGCCACAUGGAAAGGGCUAAAAAAGGGGCCAGCCUCAGUCAUCCCAGCUGAGCACCUGGCUGGGAAUAAAAGAGGACUCCGUGGAUGUCCAGCCCAGUAAGAUGACCUCAGCCCCAGCCACCAACUGACCAAGCACACAAGACAUCGUGAGGCUGCCUGCUGGAGCCUGGCCAGUGGGACUGUAGAGUAACUCAUUGUCGUGCAGGAACUCCUGGGAUGGUGUUGCCCAGUGACACAAUCCCAGUGUGGCCAUUUCUGAUCCCGAGAAAGCAGUCAGGAGUGGGUGGAUGCAGUUACAGUUCAUCAAGUCCUGCUAGUUCAAGUCAUGAGUCCUGAAUUCUCCAGGAGGAGCCACUAAAGAAAUGCAGAAGCAGGCAAUCCUUGCAAUAAGGCCAGCAAACUGCCAGUGUGAAGGAUGCCCAGGUAACCUGCCCAUGCCAGAACGGCCAGGAGAUGGUGGAACCAGAAUCUAAGCCCACGCCCAUCUGACCUCAAAGUCUGUGCUCCUGAGGUUCGCACCGAGUUGCCUCCUAAGACUUGCUGAAACUGGAUCACGUCCAUUUACCCAUCUCUGAGAGAAAUGCAAGCUUUAAAAAAGGAAAUAUUUACUAUGGAUAUUUUACAAUAGUUCCAAAACAUGAAAGUUUUAAAUAAGAUAUUCUUAACCAUCCUCACCACAUCUUCAGGUUCCCUUACAGCCACUGUGUUUUGACGAUUGCCCAUUAGAAAAAAAGACUAUGCUUUCUGUAGGUUUUAAAGGAAUGGUGGUGAAAUAAGGAGCAUUCCCUGAGCAGAUCUUGCCUGCGGGCACACCUCUGAGCAUUGGACCAGGCGAGAAGAGCCCAUGUGUUGGCUGCUUUGGGAUCCCAGCACUGCCAAUGGCAGGUGGGCUGUGGCCCAGGGAGAGAACCUAGCCUUUUGCAUUCUCUUGCCCCAUUUGAAAAUGGAGACGAUAGUGGCGCCCCGCUCAGUGUUAUUUUGAGGAUUUGAAUGUAUCUCAGAUGUAGUACCUGGAAAAAUAUAAGUGCUCAGUAAAUACGGUUGCCAGAUAAAAUGCAGGAAACCUAUUUAAAUUUAAGUUUUGGCUGGACAAUGAAUAGAAUAAUUUUUCUUAGUAUGAGUAUGUCCUUAUAUUUCAUCUGCUAAAUUUAGCAACCUCCUCAGUAAACGAUCACUACAAUUGCAGAAACGCCUUAUGACAGAUAUAGUAAAUCUGUAAAGAAAUAGGAACUUGCAUUUAUUUUUACUAAGCUCUGACUGGUUAAGAUAACUGGGCAAGAGAAGAUAUCUUCGACUAAACUUGCAGCACAUAGAGUAUAGAGAUUCAAAUUUGAAGUCCUAUAGGACUAGAAUGGCCAGAGGUGAACUGUAGCGAGCUUAUCUAAAGAGGACCAAUUUCAAAAGUUCCUCAGAGACUUAAAUGGGCCCACAGACCCCUCCUGUGUCUUUGCAUAAGCCAGCUCGUUAUAUCAGUUAUAAGUUGAUUUCCAGAGAAAUGUACCCUGGAGAUCCCUCUCCCACUUGAAAUAGGACUGGCCAAUCCAGAUGUCCCCCAGGUGAUGUUGGCUCAAAUGGAGCUCCAUAUAUUGGAGAAUCUAUUCAAGAAAACAAGCAAAAGUAUUUGUGACUGAGUUAGCUAAUGCCAGCUGGUAUCUUGAACAAACCCAGAUCUCUAACAUGCUAGUUUAUUUCGUAGUGUAAAAUGUGUGUUACUGAUGGGCAGACAGCUCUCAUUCAAGCAGUGACAGAUGUAAGCUCUUCCCAUUUUUGUGGCCCCAUUGUAUUCGGCGUGUGGCUUCCAAGUUGCCUGGGAUCAUCUCCACCCAGACUAAGGAAGAGGAAAGAGCUUGGACAACUGCACUUGGCUGGUUUUUAUGGAUCAGGCAAGGAAUUGGCUCCAACACAUUAGCUCACAUUCCAUUGGUUAGAACUGGGUUUCUCAACUAUUAGUACAGGGUGAGUGUAGGGUUUUGGCACCAUGGGCAUUUGAGCUGGCCAAAGGCUAAUCAGAGUUAGAACAAAGCCACAAAGCCUGUGAAUGGUGUUUAUUGUUGUGAGGAGCUGUCUUGUGCAUUGUGGAAUGUUCAGCAGGAUGCUCUCUGGCCUCAGAGACUCACUAGAUUCCCAUAGAACUCUCCUCUCUCCUCUAGUUGUGACAACCACAGUUGCCUCCUCUCCAGACAUUGCUAGAUGUCCCCGGGAGGCAAAAUUGUCCUGGUUGAGAACCACUGUGUUAGAACUCGGUCACAUGGCCAUACCUAACUGCAAGGGAGGGGGCUGGAAGAUCUAGACGAGUAGUAUGCCAGGAAGAAAAUAGAACUGAUUUAGAGGCUGCUGGCCAGUCACUUUCAGUGACCUUCAGCAUACUUAUUCCUCUGCAGCUGUCAGGACACUCAUGCCUGUUUCUGAGAUGUUUCCUGUGUGAGGGGACAUAGUGACUAUUGGAGGGGUGACAUGUUGGACUUGGGUAGGGUGAAGAGGAUUGGAAACCACCAUCAUGUUUGGCAGCAUUGAAUGUUUAUGACUAUUUGAAUAGUUGUGACAAGGGUACAGUGAAGGAGGAAGUAACCAUUUUUGAAUACCCUUUUACAAUUUGCAAAGCACUUUUAAAGGUAAGAGUGAGUUCCUAGACCAUAUUAGGGUGAGAAUGGACAUUGUUGGCUGCCAUAUCAUUGGGCAGGGGCUUUGAGAUUUUUGUCUUCAGAAGGCAGAUUAGAUUUGGAGUAGAAGGAGAAAUGUAAAGACCUGGUAUCUGAGUGUGUUUGCAGAGGGGAAUUGUCGUUUGGAAGCACAAGAAAGGGAAUGGCCCGUUGGCACAUAUGGUACAUUGUGUUUUCAUAUAAUUAUACCUGAAUGAAAGCAAGAGGAAACGUGUAGGAAGCUGUUUACAUAGUCCUUUUAAUAAUGUUUACAUGAGUUAAUGAACAUGCAAACGUAUCUGAUGAAAACAUGUCAGUAGUGAAACAGCCUUGUGAAGAAUCAGAUCUUACCUCAGGCUGGAAAAAAGGACUGGUUUUCCAAGCUCACAAAUUGCAGCCAGUGUGAAUAGUAGCACAAAUGACUGAGCUUUAAGACAUCCAUCCAUCCAUCUAUCCAUCCCCUCAUCCAUCCAUCCCCUCAUCCAUCCACCCAUCCAUCCAUCCCUUCAUCCAUCACUCCAUCCAGCCAUCCGUCCCUUCAUCAAUCCAUCCAUCCCUUCAUCCAUCCAUCCAUCCUUCCUUCCAUUCAUCCCUUCAUCCAUCCGUCCAUCCAUCCAUCCAUCCACUCAUUCAUCCCUUCAUCCAUCCAUCCAUCCAUCCUUCCUUCCUUCCAUUCAUCCCUUCAUCCAUCCGUCCAUCCAUCCAUCCACCCAUUCAUCCAUCCAUUCCUUCAUCAACUCAUCCCUUCAUCCAUCGUCUACCAUUCAUUCACCCCUUCAUCCAUCCAUUCAUUUAUCCAUCCGUCCAUUUACUUCCAUCCAUCCCUUUAUCCAUCCAUUCACCCAUUCAUCCCUUUAUCCAUAUGUCCAUUCCUCCAUCCAUCCAUCCAUCCAUUUACUCUUCAUCCCUUCAUCCAUUUUUCCAUCCAUUCAUCCAUUCAUCUUUUCAUCCAUCCAUCCAUUGAUCUAUCCAUCCAUCCAUUGCUCCAUCCAACCAUCCAUCCAUCCCUUCGUCCCUUCAUCCAUCCAUCCAUUCAUCCCAUCAUCCAUUGAUCACUUCAUCCAUCCAUCCUUCCAUCCUUCCAUCCAUUCUUCCAUUCAUCCAUCCAUGUGUUCAGCAAGUAUUUACUGAAUGCCUAUUAUGUGCCAAGCACUCUCCUCAGAACUUAGGAAAUACCAGGAAACAAAAUCAACAACAAUCCCUCACCACCUGGAUAUUACAUUUUGGUGGGAAGAGACAAAGAAAUAAAAUUGGUGAGUGAAUCACAUAGGUUAUUAGAAGGUGAUAAAGGUGUAGGUGAUAAAGGAGAAGUGCCAGGAGCAAGGAUUGGGUACAGUUGUGAAUAAGGUGGCCCCAAUAGGUUGCACUGAGAAGGUGACAUUUGCACAGAGACUUGAAGAAAGGAAGGAGAGAACAUGACUGUACCUGGGUAACAGCAUUUGUGGAAGAGGGAACAGCCAGUGUAAAAGUUCCAAGGCAUGAGUGCCUGGUACAUACAUGGAACAUCGAGGCCAGGGUGGCAGAAACGCGGUGAGUCCAGGAAGGGAAUAGGAACUAAGUGUAGGAAGGUGUACAGUGGGGUGGUGUGGGGGUGGAAUUGUGGCAGCCAGAUGGUGUUGGCCUAAGGCCUCUUGGCCCUUGUUAGGACUUGGUUUACCAUGGCGCAACACAUCCAUGAGAUUGGCAAAAAUUAAAAAGUCUGACAACAGAAAAUCUGGUAAUCUGGUGAGGAUGUGGAGCAGUGGGAAUUCUCCAAUACUGCCAGGGAGCAUGGGCAUCAAUCCCACCACACUGGAAUGCAAAGGGGCAUUCUGAGUAGAACUGAAGAUGUGCCCAUCCUUGACCCCACAGUUCCAGCCAUGGGCAUGCGCAUGAAUGUGCACACGUGUUGACUGCGGCAUUUGUUUGUCAUUAUGAAAACAUCUAAGUUUCCAUCUAUGGGAGAGGGGAUAAUGUGGGAGUGCCCAACAGUGGAGUUCUAGAGAGCAGUAAAAAUAAAUGGACUAGAGCUGCACACGUCAAAAUGGAUGAAGAUAAAAGACAUAAGGAUGGAAGAAGACCACCUGGCCACAGAAGUAUAUGUCCAAUAUGAUGCUGGUGUAUCCAGAGUGUUCAAACAAACAACACAACACUACUCAUUGUUUCCAACGUGAGUAUGAAAGUAUGGAGCAGUGCGGAGGGCCAGGAGUGCUGAAUCCACAUGGUUACUUCUCCAGGCGGGGGCCGAGGACCAGGGCUGGAGGUUUACUCCAGGAGCUUCAGUGGUGCAUGCUGAAUGUGCUGUUUCUUGGGCUGGGGGACAGAGAUGUGCAUGCUGUUAUACACUCUAUAUUGAAAUGAUUGUAUAACAAUAUACUAAUUUAUCAUGUAAUAAAUUUGACCAGAAAGAAACAACUGUUCUGUGGCUGCUUCCAUGACUGGAUUUCACGUUGUAGGUUUCUAAGCAGAGAGUCCAAGGAAAACCAAAGGAGCGGCGGAAGGAUAAGCCUCCCGGGUGUUCUGGGAGUGUCCCUUUGCUUGGG